GCACUUUCAGUCGUGAGGAAGGUAGUGUAGUUAAUAGCUGCAUUAUUUGACGUUAGCGACAGAAGAAGCACCGGCUAACUCCGUGCCAGCAGCCGCGGUAAUACGGAGGGUGCGAGCGUUAAUCGGAAUUACUGGGCGUAAAGCGCAUGCAGGUGGUUUGUUAAGUCAGAUGUGAAAGACCCGGGGCGUCAACCUCGGAAUAGCAUUUGAAACUAGGCAGACUAGAGUACUGUAGAGGGGGGUAGGAAUUUCAGGUGUAGCGGUGAAAUGCGUAGAGAUCUGAAGGAAUACCGGUGGCGAAGGCGGCCCCCUCGGACAGAUACUGACACUCAGAUGCGAAAGCGUGGGGAGCAAACAGGAUUAGAUACCCUGGUAG
rnacentral:rRNA from 1 species